GAUGAACGCUGGCGGCGUGCUUAACACAUGCAAGUCGAACGAAGAUGCCGGAGUGCUUGCACUUUGGCAGACUGAGUGGCGGACGGGUGAGUAACGCGUGGGUAACCUGCCUUAUACAGGGGGAUAACAGUUGGAAACGACUGCUAAUACCGCAUAAGCGCACGGUAUCGCAUGAUACAGUGUGAAAAACUCCGGUGGUACAGGAUGGACCCGCGUCUGAUUAGCUAGUUGGUGAGGUAACGGCUUACCAAGGCAGCGAUCAGUAGCCGACUUGAGAGAGUGAUCGGCCACAUUGGGACUGAGACACGGCCCAAAACUCCUACGGGAGGCAGCAGUAGGGAAUAUUGCACAAUGGGGGAAACCCUGAUGCAGCGACGCCGCGUGAAGGAAGAAGUAUUUCGGUAUGUAAACUUCUAUCAGCAAGGAAGAAAAUGACGGUACUUGACUAAGAAGCCCCGGCUAAAUACGUG
rnacentral:rRNA from 1 species